AACGAACGCUGGCGGCAUGCCUAACACAUGCAAGUCGAACGAGACCUUCGGGUCUAGUGGCGCACGGGUGCGUAACGCGUGGGAACCUGCCCUUAGGUUCGGAAUAACUCCCCGAAAGGGGUGCUAAUACCGGAUAAUGUCUUCGGACCAAAGAUUUAUCGCCUUUGGAUGGGCCCGCGUUGGAUUAGCUAGUUGGUAGGGUAAAAGCCUACCAAGGCGACGAUCCAUAGCUGGUCUGAGAGGAUGACCAGCCACACUGGGACUGAGACACGGCCCAGACUCCUACGGGAGGCAGCAGUGGGGAAUAUUGGACAAGGGGCGAAAGCCUGAUCCAGCCAUGCCGCGUGAGUGAUGAAGGCCUUAGGGUUGUAAAGCUCUUUUACCCGGGAUGAUAAUGACAGUACCGGGAGAAUAAGCUCCGGCUAACUACGUG
rnacentral:rRNA from 1 species